GAUGAACGCUGGCGGCGUGCCUAAUACAUGCAAGUCGAGCGAACAGACGAGGAGCUUGCUCCUCUGACAUUAGCGGCGGACGGGUGAGUAACACGUGGAUAACCUACCUAUAAGACUGGGAUAACUUCGGGAAACCGGAGCUAAUACCGGAUAAUAUAUUGAACCGCAUGGCUCAAUAGUGAAAGACGGUUUUGCUGUCACUUAUAGAUGGAUCCGCGCCGCAUUAGCUAGUUGGUAAGGUAACGGCCUACCAAGGCAACGAUGCGUAGCCGACCUGAGAGGGUGAUCGGCCACACUGGAACUGAGACACGGUCCAGACUCCUACGGGAGGCAGCAGUAGGGAAUCUUCCGCAAUGGGCGAAAGCCUGACGGAGCAACGCCGCGUGAGUGAUGAAGGUCUUCGGAUCGUAAAACUCUGUUAUUAGGGAAGAACAAAUGUGUAAGUAACUAUGCACGUCUUGACGGUACCUAAUCAGAAAGCCACGGCUAACUACGUG
rnacentral:rRNA from 1 species